AUAUGUACAAAUCAAACACUUUGGAAAACUAUUCAUUUUUUUAUAUAAUUGCAAAACAAUUGGAUUUCAUUAAAUCGAUCACAAUAUUUUAAAUUGUAUAAUUGCCCAAAGCAUUGUUAUCAGAAUCGUAUGUAUAUUGCGAAAGCGUUUACCGGUUAAGGUGACUUUUUAAUACCCGUUUAUAAUUUACAUUCGAAUCGGUAAACAUUGAUAAUUAUCAUUGAAAUAGUAUUGCAGUUGACUGUCUAGUAGAUAAAGUGAAACUGAAUUAUUCAUCGUAUAUUCUCAAAAGUGGAUAUCCAAUAAAUCUAUGUCUGAUUUGUUUUGCCAUUGAAAAGGAAACUAGUUAAAUAAAGCUGCGUUAAAUAAAACUAUAUUAAAUAAAAGGAGACUAGGUAAACGUUGUCGAAUAUGUGACAACGGUUUUUGUAUACUCGGUAUACAUAAAGCAUAAUGACUGAAAUACGUUUAAUCAAGUCUCUCAAAUUACUUGAACAUUUAACGAUGUCUAAUGGUCGCGAAGAAUGUUACGCGUCAAGACUCACCUUUUGUAUUUACAAGGAUCUCCAGUGAUCGCGACAAACGUGCUGUGUUCGUCGCCGGGAAUCUCGUAGCCGCUUUUGUUGAAAUUAUAAAAUAUCGGAGAGAAAUUGUACUCGGUUGUGGAAUGGAUUACACCGCAGGCCGCGGUAUUGGUUCCAUUUUUUAUGAAAACUUCGCCAUCCGGACAGCACUUUGAAACCAAUGUUGUCAGUUUCAUUCAUGAAUUGUGUACGAGUACACGCAAUAUAUUACAAUCUAUGAGUAUUGAAAAAGAUACAAGACGAAGAAUCAUUCCAAGAAAAUCAAUUCACGAGAAAUAGAUAAUAUUUAUCAAGUGAACAGAACUUAUAAGUUCCGGAAUUUUUCAAUGAAUUAAAUAAAUACUGUGAAUUGCGACGGUCUCCGUACGACGAUUUCCUACACAACGUAAUUAAUUUUUCAUGUUUAUGCACACUAUAUUAAUCUUGACAUUGAAUUAUCUAUUCAAGUGUACGUAGAUACUUGAAUGUUAACCAAUCUGCAUGAUUUUUCAUAAAGAAAAAUUUCGUAUAUUUUGACGUAAUUACCCAUUGCACGUUGACUUGCAUGCUAAAGAGAAUAGAAACCAGAAUCUUGCGAGUAUCGCAUAGCGCUUUCAGUAAAGUAUUUACCAAAUUUUCGACUGAAGUAAGUAAUCACGAAAAUACAUACGAUGCCGUAAAACGUGUGUCAUUUAGCAUGAAUAUUCAUUGAAGUCAUUAUAAUUUUCUUGGAAACAUCUUCUUUUCAUUUAAUAAAUAUAAUGUGUCAGCUCGAGACGAA